GUUUGCGUGAUGUCAACUUGGUUUACGGCGAACAUGUAAGAUGUCCAGGAUCCUAUCUACUCCCGGGUUGGCGAAAAAACGGGGAAAACAAUGCAGUUUAUUUGAAGAUAAUGGGCCUACUGCUUGGUGGUUUAUUGGAUUGUGAAAAGUGACACUGGAUUAACGAAUUACCAGAGCAAUCCAUUCCAGGGCAGAUUAUGAAAGCUGCUUUGCUCUUGUUGAUUUUAAUAUCUUAUGAUAUACAAAUACAGAUUAAGUAUUAAAAAUAAAAUAAAAGUCUUCAACACCAUG